rnacentral:rRNA from 1 species
UACGAAGGGGGCUAGCGUUGCUCGGAAUCACUGGGCGUAAAGGGUGCGUAGGCGGGUCUUUAAGUCAGGGGUGAAAUCCUGGAGCUCAACUCCAGAACUGCCUUUGAUACUGAGGAUCUUGAGUACGGGAGAGGUGGAGUGGAACUGCGAGUGUAGAGGUGAAAUUCGUAGAUAUUCGCAAGAACACCAGUGGCGAAGGCGGACUCACUGGCCCGUUACUGACGCUGAGGCACGAAAGCGUGGGGAGCAAACAGGG